rnacentral:rRNA from 1 species
UACGGGGGGGGGCAAGCGUUGUUCGGAAUUACUGGGCGUAAAGAGCUCGUAGGCGGUUUGUUGCGUCGGCUGUGAAAUCCCGAGGCUCAACCUCGGGUCUGCAGUCGAUACGAGCAAACUAGAGUGUUGCAGGGGGAGACUGGAAUUCCUGGUGUAGCGGUGAAAAUGCGCAGAUAUCAGGGAGGGAAACACCCGGGUGG